GUAGGGAAUAUUGCACAAUGGGCGAAAGCCUGAUGCAGCAACGCCGCGUGUGCGAUGAAGGCCUUCGGGUCGUAAAGCACUUUUUGAGGAGAUGAGGAAGGACAGUAUCCUCAGAAUAAGGUCCGGCUAACUACGUGCCAGCAGCCGCGGUAACACGUAGGGACCAAGCGUUAUCCGAAUUUACUGGGCGUAAAGCGUGUGCAGGUGGUUUAGCAAGUUGGAUGUGAAAGCUCCUGGCUCAACUGGGAGAGGCCGUUCAAGACUGCUAGACUUGAGGAUGGUAGAGGAAGGUAGAAUUCCCGGUGUAGUAGUGAAAUGCGUAGAUAUCGGGAGGAAUACCAGUGGCGAAGGCGGCCUUCUGGACCAUUCCUGACACUCAGACACGAAAGCUAGGGUAGCGAAUGGGAUUAGAAACCCCGGUAGUCC
rnacentral:rRNA from 1 species